GAGGGUGCAGCUCAGUGGUAGAGUGUAUGCUUAGCAUGCAUGAGACCCUGGGUUCAAUCCCCAGUACCUCCA
rnacentral:tRNA from 1 species